UCUUUUAGACCUCGCGCGGUUGGAUGGACCGAUGUUCGAUUAGCUAGUUGGUGAGGUAAUGGCUCACCAAGGCGACGAUCGAUAGCUGGUCUGAGAGGAUGAUCAGCCACACUGGGACUGAGACACGGCCCAGACUCCUACGGGAGGCAGCAGUGGGGAAUAUUGGACAAUGGGCGCAAGCCUGAUCCAGCAAUGCCGCGUGUGUGAAGAAGGCCUUCGGGUUGUAAAGCACUUUUAUCAGGAGCGAAAUACUACCGGCUAAUAUCCGGUGGGGCUGACGGUACCUGAGGAAUAAGCACCGGCUAACUUCGUGCCAGCAGCCGCGGUAAUACGAAGGGUGCAAGCGUUAAUCGGAAUUACUGGGCGUAAAGCGUGCGUAGGCGGUUAUUUAAGUCUGCUGUGAAAUCCCCGGGCUCAACCUGGGAAUGGCAGUGGAUACUGGAUAGCUAGAGUGUGAUAGAGGAUGGUGGAAUUCCCGGUGUAGCGGUGAAAUGCGUAGAGAUCGGGAGGAACAUCAGUGGCGAAGGCGGCCAUCUGGAUCAACACUGACG
rnacentral:rRNA from 1 species